UAUAGACCAGUAUACACCAGUAUACACCAGUAUAGACCAGUACGGACAAGUAUAGACCAGUACAGAGCAGUAUAGAUCAGUACAGACCAGUAUACACCAGUACAAACCAGUAUAGAUCAGUAUAGACCUGCACAGACCAGUACAGACCAGUAUAGAACGAACAGACCAGUAUAGACCUGUACAGACCAGUAUAGAUCAGAAUAUUUCAGUACAGACCAGUACAGACCAGUAUACACCAGUACAGACCACUAUAGAUCAGUAUAGACCUGUACAGACCAGUACAGACCACUAUAGACCAGUACAGACCAGUAUACACCAG
rnacentral:lncRNA from 1 species